rnacentral:rRNA from 1 species
AGUCGAGCGGACAGAUGGGAGCUUGCUCCCUGAUGUUAGCGGCGGACGCCUUUUUAACACGUGGGUAACCUGCCUGUAAGACUGGGAUAACUCCUGAAAACCGGGGCUAAUACCGGAUGCUUGUUUGAACCGCAUGGUUCAAACAUAAAAGGUGGCUUCGGCUACCACUUACAGAUGGACCCGCGGCGCAUUAGCUAGUUGGUGAGGUAAUGGCUCACCAAGGCAACGAUGCGUAGCCGACCUGAGAGGGUGAUCGGCCACACUGGGACUGAGACACGGCCCAGACUCCUACGGGAGGCAGCAGUAGGGAAUCUUCCGCAAUGGACGAAAGUCUGACGGAGCAACGCCGCGUGAGUGAUGAAGGUUUUCGGAUCGUAAAGCUCUGUUGUUAGGGAAGAACAAGUACCGUUCGAAUAGGGCGGUACCUUGACGGUACCUAACCAGAAAGCCACGGCUAACUACGUGCCAGCAGCCGCGGUAAUACGUAGGUGGCAAGCGUUGUCCGGAAUUAUUGGGCGUAAAGGGCUCGCAGGCGGUUCCUUAAGUCUGAUGUGAAAGCCCCCGGCUCAACCGGGGAGGGUCAUUGGAAACUGGGGAACUUGAGUGCAGAAGAGGAGAGUGGAAUUCCACGUGUAGCGGUGAAAUGCGUAGAGAUGUGGAGGAACACCAGUGGCGAAGGCGACUCUCUGGUCUGUAACUGACGCUGAGGAGCGAAAGCGUGGGGAGCGAACAGGAUUAGAUACCCUGGUAGUCCACGCCGUAAACGAUGAG